rnacentral:tRNA from 1 species
GGAGGGAUGGCCGAGCGGUUGAAGGCACCGGUCUUGAAAACCGGAGUCCCGCAAGGGACCGGGGGUUCGAAUCCCUCUCCCUCCGCCA